AAAUUAGAUACAUUUAGACUUUUUCAAGACCCUACUUGUACAAUUACAUGAGAUCGAAAUCUAUUUUAAAGUAGACAACCUAACCACAAAAUAUUCCAAAUAAUUGACCAAAUGUGAAAAAAGAACCUUGCUGGCAGCAUGAAAAACGACAACAACCAAAAAAGAAAAAAAAAAGGGGUUGCAAGUACAAAAAAAUCGGGUGGAGAGUCGUAUCGAUUCUGAUUUCAUUCUUUGGUACCUUUUUUUUUCCUUUCUUAAUUUUAAAACGCAAUCUUUGCCUACUUUAUUUAUCACUUCCCCCAAAUUCAUCACACUUCCAAAAAUCCACUACUAUAUUAUAUAUAAAAAUAAAAUAAAAGAGAGUCCAUAAUGUUAAUCAUCGCCAAAGCUAAGGUUGAUUCGAGAUUUGAAGUUAGUAGAGACGUAAAUGCAGUUAUUGAUUCAAGCCUAAGGUAGUAGAUAUGUUUUAGCUGUGGCUGUGGAACGAGGUGGCACUGUACAAUCUCACUGUUCUAUUGCAAUCAUAAGGCACAACAGCAAAGGCAGGUGGAACAUGGGUGGUAUUAACAGGUUGUGAUGGGAAAUGGUCUAUUUUCUCAAUAUCAUAACCUGCAUGAAGGCCACAAGACCAAAAGUAUGAAAAGAAUAAUCUUCUUGUAAUAUCUAAGUUAUUGGAAGAAA